rnacentral:lncRNA from 1 species
GGGGAUGUUCAAGAAUAUCCUGACGAGAUCUCAUCUGAAGUCUGCCAAGUCAAUUCAUGGCAAUUUUUUUCAAGUUGCCAUCAUUGUCUUAACCCGAUCCCUGGGGAUGUUUGGGCAGAUCUCAAUGAUGUCUCAUCUAAAGUCAAUACCAAGUUGAUCCAUAGUAAUUUUUAUCAAGUUGCCAUCAUCAUCUUAAUCCGAUCACUAGGGGGAUGUUCAAGAAGAUCCUGAUGAGGUCUCAUCAUGGAGGUUCUAACUUGGGUUAGGAUAUCUCCUUGUGAUUC